UGGGGAAUAUUGGACAAUGGGGGCAACCCUGAUCCAGCAAUGCCGCGUGUGUGAAGAAGGUCUUCGGAUUGUAAAGCACUUUCGACGGGGACGAUGAUGACGGUACCCGUAGAAGAAGCCCCGGCUAACUUCGUGCCAGCAGCCGCGGUAAUACGAAGGGGGCUAGCGUUGCUCGGAAUGACUGGGCGUAAAGGGCGUGUAGGCGGUUUACACAGUCAGAUGUGAAAUCCCCGGGCUUAACCUGGGAGCUGCAUUUGAUACGUGUAGACUAGAGUGUGAGAGAGGGUUGUGGAAUUCCCAGUGUAGAGGUGAAAUUCGUAGAUAUUGGGAAGAACACCGGUGGCGAAGGCGGCAACCUGGCUCAUUACUGACGCUGAGGCGCGAAAGCGUGGGGAGCAAACAGGAUUAGAUACCCUGGUAGUCCACGCUGUGAACGAUGUGUGCUAGAUGUUGGGUAACUUUGUUAUUCAGUGUCGCAGUUAACGCGUUAAGCACACCGCCUGGGGAGUACGGCCGCAAGGUUGAAAC
rnacentral:rRNA from 1 species